UCCCGGUAUCCCAGCAGGCAGCAGCAGGACCCAAGCGACGCAUCAUUUCCAUUGUCCAUUUCUCUCGAAACUGUAGAUCCAAUCUAUUCUCUCGCCCCUUCCUUUUCCCUCAGAGCGGCGGGCGACCAAUUCCUCCAUGGCUCCAUUGAUCUCGCCCGCGGAUCAAAGAUUUUUUUCAUGGAAUUUCUUCUUCCUUUACUGAUUCGUUUGAUUCUUGUUCUGAUUUGAUCUCUUGUUCUUUCUUUUGUUGUCUGUAGUUUGUUCAGGUGACUCGCUAGGGUUUAUCCAAUUCCAUAAUCAAUCGAGGAUUCGAGGGCAGUGAGCGCGGCCAGCAGCGGCACUCGAUUUGGGUUCAGGUUUGUCGGCUGCCGAUCCUUUCUCCAUUUGAUUCAUCUGUUCCGGCCAGGUUGAGUUGAAUUUUUUCUGGCCGUGGCAUCAAAGCGGAUUUUACUGCACUUAAUUGGUUCCCGCAAAACCUUCUCGGCCGCUCGCUCGCAUCGCACGCAUCUGGCCGGCCGGCCCGCUUUACCCUCGCGCAUGUACAUGCAAGUUCAUUCAAGCAUGUAGCUGCACGCUCCUCUGAUUCUAAUCAACUGACCAAGAUAACACAAAUGUUAGCUUCUGUGUGAAACUACAGUUGUCUCUUGCGUAUUGUAGUUGUGGUCCAAUUAUGAUCGAGUUCAAUACUUUAGUACUUAACACAUAGGAAGAAAAUACAACAAAGCUUCUGUGUCUCAAUCUGUUUCUUCUUUAGAUAUCAUAAUGUCUGCUGCCUCAUAUUUAAUGGAUUGUUUAAUAUUGUUAUAUUAUAUUUCAUCUGCAAAUUAGAAAAUCUAAGUGGAGAGGAAUGCAGGGUGUUUAAUACUCUUAUAUGAAGUGUGGUAUAUGAAACUUCUGUCUAAUUCAUGGUUAUGUCUAUCCAUGAUUAUAUAUUGUGAAGUCUGUUUAUGUCUCUUGCUUAGGAAUGACAUCUUUAAUAUCUGAUCAUGCCUGAUACGUCAUAAGUAGGCUGUCCAAAUUUUUUGAUAUCAUAGUAUAUUUGCGUCUGGCAUUGUUUUCUUAAUGAUCUUUUUACACUGAAAUAUGUAUUGUAAGUUGACUUCAUUCACAUUGUAAUUGCCUUAUCAUGCAUUAUCCUUCUUGCGGAUAUUGCUCAAUGCAUAUUUUUAUUGAUUUGCCUCACUAGGAUAUGUAUUGAGAAGUGUGGCCUCUAUAUUGUGAUUUGAUCCUUUCUACUUAUUUUUGUUGUAUGUCUUCAUCUCUUUGACGAUUGCUGCUGUAGCUAUCCUUGCCUGAUUCCCCAUUCAAGGAGAACAUGGAGUGCUUUGGUUGCCUCGAUAGUCGCCUCCUUGAGCUCUAGGAUGAGAUCAAACUUGUCAAGAGUAGAAAUGCGAUAGGGUUUCUCUGUGGUGUUUGUCCUUUUCUUUUAUCUAAUGUUUUGUUGAUAAAGCCUGCUGAAAUUUGAAGGAAAUGAGAACAGAAAAUGGAUGAAAGAAUGUUCUGUA